AUUGAACGCUGGCGGCAUGCUUUACACAUGCAAGUCGAACGGUAACAGGCCUUCGGGUGCUGACGAGUGGCGAACGGGUGAGUAAUGCAUCGGAACGUGCCCAGAGGUGGGGGAUAACGCAGCGAAAGCUGUGCUAAUACCGCAUGUGAUCUGAGGAUGAAAGCGGGGGACCAAGCAGCAAUGUUUGGCCUCGCGCCUCUGGAGCGGCCGAUGUCAGAUUAGGUAGUUGGUGGGGUAAAGGCCUACCAAGCCGACGAUCUGUAGCUGGUCUGAGAGGACGACCAGCCACACUGGGACUGAGACACGGCCCAGACUCCUACGGGAGGCAGCAGCGGGGAAUUUUGGACAAUGGGCGCAAGCCUGAUCCAGCAAUGCCGCGUGCGGGAAGAAGGCCUUCGGGUUGUAAACCGCUUUUGUACGGAACGAAAAGGCUCUGGCUAAUACCUGGGGCUGAUGACGGUACCGUAAGAAUAAGCACCGGCUAACUACGUG
rnacentral:rRNA from 1 species